rnacentral:miRNA from 1 species
UUCUCUACUAGUGCCGAAAUC